CUUCGCCGUCCCUGACUGGAGGAAACCUGCAGGCUCUCGUCCGCCGAGCUCAGAAGUGCCAGGCGCUGCCAACGGCCCCGGAGAUCCUCGCGUAGGGGCCCCCGGGGCGAUGCGGAACGCUCCCGCAAGAGCGGCGCCGGAACUUGGGCGGGGAGGAAGACGAGCUUUCGCAGACAGGGCCGGGAGGAGAGGGCGGGAGCGGGAGGGACGCUAAGUGGGGUGUCUCCGCCUAAGCCGACCGGCGGGCACACGCGGGCCCGGUAGAGAAAGGUUCUGCUGCGCGUAGUUGGCCCAUCCCGUUUGGGCCUGGAUGUCCUCAAUGUCCUUGACUCCUGGAACCUCCUCCUGGCCCCUAAACGGCCCUGAGGGUCUCCAGCCAGGGAGUGGGGGCGGAGUGAGGGCGCUAAGCUGAUGGGCUAAGGAGACCACCCUAUUUUACUAUAGACGGUGCGGGUCCUGCUUCUGCCCCUGAGCCGGGGUUAGGGAAGGGGUUGCGCGUACUCGGAGGGUCCAUUUCAGGAAAAGGGCGGCGUUUCUGAGUUCCCGAAAUGUGGGAGGGCUUGAGAGCCACAACACCAGGCUCUGAGAAGGGACUGGAAGUACGGCCUGACUUUCCCGGAGAAAGGGGUUAAGUGUGAGAGAAAGAUGGGAGCGAAGGGGAGCUGCGCUCGCGGUGGAAGGAGCGAGGUAUCCUGGGAAGGAAAGCGAGUCCCGCGUUCAGACAGAGCAGGAAUCUCAUCCUGAGCCGGCAGAACCUCCGUUUUCUCACAGACAUCACAAGAUUGUUGUUAGGAUUUGAAACGAUCGUUUAUCCAAUGAAUAUUAGAGGUCGACUACGUGCCAGGCUCUGCUUAGCACUAGGGAUUCAGUAAUGGAACAAAUAAGUCAACAAAUGAUAGACAAGAUCAGUUGAACUGGUAUCAUUACCAUUUGCUCUGAAGCAAAUGAAAUAGAAUGAUGGGGGCACUCAUUUAGUUUGGGUGAUCAGACAAGACCUCUAUGACAAGUGACAAGAACAGACGGUAUUCUAGGCAAAGGGGACAGCUAAUAUAAAAGUCCUGAGGAGGGAACAGUCUGGUGAGCUCGGAAACAGAAAGGUCAGUGUGGCUGCAGCAGAGUGGGCCACAGUAAGAAUGAUAGAUGAAGUCAGAGGAUGCAACACACGUUAGGGCCUAAUAACCCAUAGCAAAGGGUUUAAGUCUACUCUGUGAUGGGGGCAUUUGAAGGGUUUUAAAGAGGGAAGUGACAAGAUGCUAUUUGUGUUUUUUAAAAAGAUCACUCUGGCUGCUGUAUGGAGAAUAAACUCUGGAAGGCAAGAGUAGAUAGGGGGACAGGCCUUGGAUUAGGAUGGUAGGAGUGAAUGGUAGGUGAUGAAGCUUCUGGGACAGUCUCAAAAAACUCAAUAUGAAAGUGACUUCCUCCCUCUUCCUCCCUUCCCCAAAGGACAAAAUUUACCAUAGAGAAAGAACAAAUGCAUUUAUGUGGCUCCAAGGGACUGGGCUCGGCUCAACAAGUUCACAUACAUUAUUUUAUUUGAACCCCACCAUUCCAAUUCUAGGAGGUAAAGGCCUCACUUCCAUUGCAGCUAUUGGUGGAGGUGUGGGUCACUUCUCAAAUUCUCUCCAUUCUACAGCUCAGCUUUACCCACUUAUUGCAGAUCCCUACAGAAACACGAGUUAUUUUUCUCCUUACCAUAAACAAAAACAGCAUUGGCAAUAAGGGCUGAAGGUAAGAUUCUACUGGUAGCGUCUCUGAAAUAGCUGAUAGAGAAGUGGGGGAAGCUGGCUGGUUUAUUUGGGGACUUCAGGGUCAUGAAAAAACCCAGUGUUUGACAGGGACCCAGGCUUUUUGGUCUCGGAUUCACACAUUCAGAUGUGUGAUGACUUCCUUUUCUGGCUCCAUACGGCAAGCAUGCACCUCAUCUACCAUCUGUCUCCUCUCUGCCUUUCUAUCUCUCUCUGUCUCUCCAUAUCUCUAACUCCGUCUCCCUACCACCCUCCCUCUCCUCUGCCAACACACUUUGAUUACCUGGGCACAAGCUGACCUGGAGGAGUGCCUGGCUCUUUAGAAAAACCAUCUCCUCAUAGCCUUUUACCCUAUUAUGUUCCUGAAUCAUUCUACAUUCUAUUCCGAACCAACUUUCUGAAGAAGGUGAUGUAAAAAAGUCCAGACACAGGCCCCUUCUUCCAGUUUUGUUUUCUAAGGGAGACCUGAUUCAUCCAGACUCAUUGCUGAAUAAGAGACUCCCUUCUUCCUCGUGCCCUCUCUACCUCAGUUUGGUGGUAUAACUGGAUGGGUACUACAAGGGGUGACUGCUCCAAGGGUCAAGCUAGAGAGGGGCUCAGAACUUGCAUUGUGUGGCCUCCAUCCCAAGAUGGGAAUACCUCUUUGCUCCAGCAGCCCAAAGUCAGGAGGUUUGGGCUGCUGUUUUCUUCUGUGUUUAUCAAAGUUGCUUCGUAUAGGCUUCUGGGCUCCCUUGGUUUCUUAAUAGCUAUUGGCUGACUGGAGACUAUUUAGUUGCUUGUUUACCUGGGCUUAGAGGGUGACGUUUCUGUGGUCAGGUUGUGCAAAUCUGGAGAGAGGAUAUGUAAACAGGACAAGGCUGCUUUCCCAAAGGCCAGGGCCCAGAAAUAGUUCCUUGUGCUUCUGACCUAUUUCCUCCUCCCUGGACAGAAAGCCACUGAGCAAAUGUGCAAUAGUAAAACAUAACUACAAGUAGCUAUAUCCUGAUGGAGAUUGAUUUGCUGAUGACAACAAACUGCAGCCUUCCACCUGGAAAUAAGGCAGGACUGACCUUUCCCCGCACUUUGCUUCCUAGGCAUUAUAGUGGCCUAUGAGCAGAAUUUGCCAUGCCUUCCAUGGAGCAUUCUUUUUCCAAGUCAGGUCAAUCCAGCCUGCAGCUGUAAGUCAAUGAAGUUCCUCAGAUAAAGUGCAUGCAAAAAUGUUAUUUUUCAAGCACCAGUAAAGACACUUGUUUUAAUCUUAUACCCCUUGCACGUACUAUAGAGGAAGAGGGUGACCCUUAGUGUUGAAUAGAUCUGGGUGGGAUUUCCAUAUCUAUGGACAAGCUGUGGCUCUGGGCCAGUUUCUACAUCUGUACAAUGGAGUCAAAUCUUUUCCUUGCAGGGCUGGUGUGAUGGGAACAUGCCAGCUUCUUCACCAAGCCUGGUCCUAUGAAGGGGUGCCUCAGUACAUACUAGUUUCUCUUUCCUCUUAUUCCCCUCCUGCCCACCUGACAAAAUCCUUCUAUUUUGCCCACGUUACAAAACUCUUCUAUUUUGCCCACCUGGCAAAAUCCUUCUAUUUUGCCAUUAACCUGCUCAAGAAAGGACUUUGUCCCCAUCUGCAUUUUCUCUGCAAGAAUGUGCCCGCCUCUAAGAAUGGAGAGUAAACCCAUGGUAUACAAGGGGCUGGGGAGGCUAAUUCACAAGAGUUCAGAAAUUCCAACAGAGCUGCACAAGGAUGAUGUCAGAAAUAAGAGUGAUAACUCAGAAACCAGUGACAGUCUAUCAGCCCGGUUUCACAAAACUGGCAGCCCACUGGCCUCUGCCUCCUCUGCCUCCCACUCUCCUUGCCUUUCCCUGAAAAGCAAAUCUAAUGAUUGGCAAAAACAAAACCAAGGCUGGAGGAGAGGGGGUGGCUAGUCUGUGUUAUUUUGCGAAGCCAUUCAUCUCUGCCAGAUUUAGGUUUACCAGGAAAGUAGGUUGAAAUAGACGUGUGUCUGCUUUGUUCUAACCCCAUUCUUCUCUGGAUAGUGGUACCAAUCGGUAUCCUGGGCUUAUAAUGACAGAAAUAUGUGUGCCAGGCAUCACAGUGAACAUUUCACACAGAUGAGCAUGUUAUAUUUACACAAGCUUCUGAAGUACAUGCCAUUAUUAUCAUUCCCAUUCUUCAGAUGAAGAAACUAAGGCAGAGAGCUGUGGAGUAGCUUGUCUGUGGCCUCAUAACUGGAGUGUGGGAGAACAUCAGGAUUUGAACUCAGGCUGUCUGGCCACCUCCACCCCACCUGCUACCAACCUUCUGUGCCCUCUCAGUUCUCCCCACCCAUCAUGUUCUUUGCAGUCAGGACCCCAGCUUUAGGUGCCCAAAGCUUUCUGUGGUCCUGGUCACUUCACUUGGGCUAAGGGGCCAAUUAACUUACUGAGCCAUCCCAUGCCAAUGGGGAAGGGCUGGAGGAAACCCCACCACCAUCCCACACAUAGUCUGGACAGCCCUCACUCCUACCCCAGGAGCACAGAUCCACAUCCAGAGCAAAUGCCAUCUCAUCCUGGACAUCUUCCUUGAUUUUGCCCCUGAGGUCUAUACCACUUUAUACCUCUCUUGGGACCUUUGCCUCUUUCCAAAAAUUACUCGUGUCUGUACAAGAUUUCAUAGUCUCCAAAGGCCUUUCCCAUCCACCUAGUCCAGCUUCUUCCCAGGCCUUUUAACCUCCUUCUAUCACUGGGAUGGCAUUCAGCAUGGUAAUUCAGCACCUGAGCUCUGGAAUCCAGCCUGCAGCAUCCUAACUUCACCACUUGCUAGCUGUGUGCCGCUGGGCAAGGUACUUGCUCAACUUCUCAACAUCUCGGUUUCCCUAUCUGUGAAACUGGGAUAAUAAUAAUGUCACCCUUAUCUGGUUGGAGGGUUGAAUGAGAUAAGCAUACAAGCAUACACAGCACCCAAACUCAGUAAGUGCUGGCUGCUGUUAUCAUCUCACUAAAUCUUCUCCCAAAACUCCUGUGGGAUUAAACCUUCCCACCACCCUCCCACACACACUCUGGUUCUUGUCAUCAGUAAAAAUGCAUCUGAACCAGAUGACCUUUAAGCUUUCUUCCAGCUCCAUCAACCUAUGAUUCUACCAUGAAUCACAGUUAUUAUGGACACAUUUUAACUCUUUAUGCCAUAGCAAUCUCCUGAAGGCCCAGCCCUUAACAUAGGGCCUUGUAUACAGUUGGCUGUCCUGCCAGGGUGAUGUUAGCACCUAACAAUAGUCCUUGCCUCAUCCACGCACUGGGAUGAACAAAUGAGGAAAUUCCUAUAUAGCAUUUAGUCCAGUGCCUGGCACUGAGUAAGCCCCUAAUAAGUCAUGGUUUCUAUUAUUAUCCCAUCUGAUACUAAUAAGAUUCCCAAACAUGGUCAUUAAAAGCAUAGGAGCCACACUGGGUGUGGACUCAUCCUAGUGCUGAUCCUGUGAGACCUUGAGCAAGUUAAUUCACCACCCCAUGCCUCAAUUUCCUCCUCUGUAAUAUGGAUGUGAUUAUGAGUAACUUCCUAAUAAGGUUGUUGUGAGUUAAUAGAAGGGCACUUAGAAUUGUGCCUGGCAUCUGCUUGGUAUAUGUAAGUGCUUUUUGUCAUCAUUUACAGAUGUCAGCGGCACCAAGGGACAUCCCCAAGCAGUAGUGGAGUUGGGAUCCAAACCUAAGCUUGACUGAUUCCAGAGCCUCAGUGCUAAUAUUAGGAGAUAUUGCUGCCCUGUGUGAUCCCAUGCAUUUCAGCAGGAGCCUCCUUGUCCACUCCUUUCAGUUGUCUUCCCUGGCAAAGGAGUUUUUAUAAUGGUGAUUUCAGGAUGGGAGGAGGGUGAGUCAGCACCAGAGAGACCUAAGGAUGCCCUCAAAUCAUACCACAGGAGAAGCAGCCUUCUUCUCACCUGUGUCUGGUCGUAUCACUUUAGCAUUCCAUCAGGACCUGGCCCAGAAGCCCAGAAACAUGGCAACACCCACACCUGCCAUCUAGCCUGGAAGCUGCAGCGAAACCCUCAGCACUCACGCUGAUGUCACAUUUGAGGCUAGUCCCAGCUCUUCCAUGGAGACAGGCCCUGGCCUUGAGGCCAUUUCCCAUUUCUGAGGCAUGAUUCACUUAGCAGACAAGACCAGACAGACUCGUUCAUGUUCAUACCUACCGGAGGAAGGAGAGGUGGGUGGUGGAUCCAGGGGGAGAAGAAAAACAAACGGGGUUAGGGCUGGCAGGACUCUCGCUGCUGGGCUGCAGGGGCGGAGCAGGCAGGCAGAGCGCCUGACUUAGGAGCCGUGCCCAGCAUGGCCACCCACUCACCCAUUUAUCUUCCUUGCAGUCAAAUGUAUUGAUUUAAACAGGAAUCCGUCUGUGCUUCUAAAGCCCCAGAAACGCACUUACAUCUCACGUGUAGCACAAUGAUUUUCAAAGAGGUUUCCCACAAAUAAUUUUAAUUUGGGUUACUUUUUAAAUAUUUGAUUCUCUUAUUAACAAAGCAACACAUGCUUAUGAGGAAUGCUGGGACAACUUUUCAAAUGUCAAUUUUAAAUAUAUACAGAAUUAUACCACCAGCAAUAAGAUUUUCAGUAAAUUUCCCACUAGUCUGUUUUCUGAGUCCACAGACAUAUAUAGUUCAUGAAACAAAAUUGGAGCCAUACCACACAAAGAGUUCCAUAUCUUUUUUUCUUUUCAUUUAACAUAAAGUCAUUGGCAUUUUUCAAUGUUACCAAAUAUUCUGCUACAGCAAUUCAUAAUGGCUGCAUUUAUCAGAAUAGAUGUGUUAUAAUUUCGGUGGCCAUGCCCUGAUUGUUGGACUUUCAAGAUGUUUACGAAAAUAUUACUAUUAAAAUAACAGUGCCACGAACACCUCUUUACUUGUAUUUUUGUCUGUAUAUCUGAUUAUGUGCCAAUAAUAAAUUUCUAGUAAUGGAAUUACUAGCUCACAGGAUUUGAAUAUUUCUGAAUAUAUCUAGCCAAAUUACUUUCCAGAAAAUACAUCCAGUUUACACUCCCCCGGCAAUGUGUUCGAAUGUUCUCACUCUGUUUUGAGCUUGUGAGCCAGUGAGUUAGGUAACAAGGUCUCAUGUUACAGACGAAGAAAACUGGGCACAAAAAGAUUAAGUAGCCAGCUCCAGUUCGUACAACUGAGAUCCAAGCCCUGGCCUCCUGGAGUUAGUGUCAGGGGCCUUCCAGACAAGGAGAGCUCUGAAGAGGUUUCCUGACUAAUGGAGUUGGAUAGAACUUUCUUUUUUUUUUUUUUUGAGACGGAGUCUCACUCUGUCACCCAGGCUGGAGUGCAGUGGCGACAUCUUGGCUCACUGCAACCUCUGCCUCCCAGGUUCAAGUGAUUCUCCUGCCUCAGCCUCCCGAGUAGCUGGGAUUACAGACAUGUGCCCCUAUGCCCAGCUAAUUUUUAUAUUUUUAAUAAGUAGAGACAGGUUUUCAGUAUGUUGGCCAGACUGGUCUAGAACUCCUGACCUCAGGUGAUCCACCUGCCUCAGCCUCCCAAAGUGCUGGGAUAAUAGGUGUGAGCCAUCAUGCCUGGCCGCCUUCUAUUAUUUAUUAGAGACAUUAGUCUGUAACUUCUCCUUUUUUAAUAACUUUGAUAUAUUUUUAUAUUAAAGUUAUGCUGGCCUGAAAGUUGAGAUAUUUUCCCUUUUUUCUCUAGUAUUUUCUUUGAGGGAAGGUUUCUAAUUAUGGAUUAAAGUUUUUAAAGUAGAUGUAGGUAUAUGUACAUUUUGUACUUAUGUUCAUUUUGGUAAAUUGGGCUUCUCAAAGAAUUGAUUCACUUCCUUCAAAUUUUCAAAUUUAUUAGCGCACAUUUUUUAUAAUAUCUUUUUAUCAUUUUAAUAUCUGUAGCAUCUGUUUUUAUAGCCUGCUUUUUUCAUUCCUGAUACUGAUAAUUCAUAUUUUCUCUUUGUUUUUCUUAGUCUUACUACUAUUUAUCAAUUUUUUUUUUUUUUUUUGGAUACAAGGUCUCACUCUGUCACCCAAGCUUGAAUACAGUGAAAUGAUCACAGUUCACUGCAGCCUUAGCUUUGGCUCAAGCGAUCCUCCCACCUCAGCCUCCCAAAGUGCUAGGAGUACAGGCAUGAGCCACUGUGACUGGCCUAUCAGUUUUUUUAACCUUUUCAAAGAAUGAAUGUUUGGAUUUAUUUUCCAUAUUGCAAAUUUUUUUCUAUUUCACAGAUUUUUGCUCUUUAUUAUUUCUUUGCUUUUUCUUUAUUUGGUCCUAAUUUGGUUGCUCUUCUUUUAGAUUCCUGAUUUUCAAUUCUUAGUGUUUUUGUUUGUUUGUUUUUUUUUUUUUUUGAGAUGGAGUCUUGCUCUGUCACCCAGGCUGGAGUGCAGUGGCACAACCUUGGCUCACUGCAACCUCCUCCUCCCGGGUUCAAGCGAUUCUCCUGCCUCAGCCUCCCGAGUAGCUGGGAUUACAGGUGUGCACCACCAUGCCCAGCUAAUUUUUGUAUUUUUGGUAGAGACAGGGUUUUACCAUGUUGGCCAGGCUGGUCUUGAAUUUCUCACCUCAAGUGAUCCACCUGCCUCAGCCUCCCACAGUGCUGGGAUUACAGGCUUGAGCCACCUCGCCCAGCCAAUUCUUAGUCUUUUUUUUUUUUUUUUUUUUUUUUUGAGAUGGAGUCUUGCUCUGUCACCCAGGCUGGAGUACAGUGGCACAACCUUGGCUCACUGCAACCUCCUCCUCCCGGGUUCAAGCGAUUCUCCUGCCUCAGCCUCCCAAGUAGCUGGGAUUACAGGUGUGCACCACCAUGCCCAGCUAAUUUUUGUAUUUUUGGUAGAGACAGGGUUUUACCAUGUUGGCCAGGCUGGUCUUGAAUUUCUAACCUCAAGUGAUCCACCUGCCUCAGCCUCCCAAAGUGCUGGGAUUACAGGCAUGAGCCACCUCGCCCAGCCAAUUCUUAGUCUUUUUUUUUUUUUUUUUCAUUUCUGAUAUAUACAUUUAAGGCCAUACAUUUUCCUCUAAUCACUGUCUGGCUGACAUCCUACAGUUUAUAAAAUAAAAUUAUAUGUGUUUAUUACAAGAAUCAAAUUAAGAAAUUGUAUCAGCUUCUCUAACAUACUUAUUUACACAGCAAAUAUAAUAUACCAAGAUGAUGCAAACCUUUCAAAUAUGUCAAGCCACAGUUUUCUUUGCUUUUUUUUCUUAGUUUAAAAUAUAUUGUUGUUCUUCCACCUUAUCUUUGUUUUCAUAAGUGGUUUUUCUCUUAUCCUGCCUUAUAAUUUUGCUAGGUUUGGUGAUGUAGGAAAUCAAAAAAGGAUUUAGACAAGAACAAAUGAAGUUAUGGUCCGAACAAUUUUGAAGCAAUAGAUUUACAUUUGAGAACUUUUAGUUGUAAUGAUCCUGCAAGUUUUGGUUUGUUGUGUUUUCAUUAUUAUUCAGUUCAAAAUAUUUUCUAAAUCUCAUGUGAUUUUUUUCAUUUUAUUCAUAAGUUAUUUAGAAGUCCUAUCAAAUCUCAAAGCGGUGGGGGAUUGUAUUAUUAGCUACAUAUGACAGAUGUUUGGCUUAAUUCCACAGUCGAAGAACACAAUCUGUAGGAUUUCAUUCCUUUGAUAUUUGUUGAGGUUUGAUCAUGUCUCAGCAUGUGGUGUAUCUGUGGGAAAUGUUCAAUGUGUACUUGAGAAGAAUGUGCUUUCUGUACUUGUUUAUAAUAUCUAAAACAAAAGAGUGAUUAUCUUCUAGGUUAUAUAAAAACUCAGGCAAAUCGGUAGGAAAAAAAAAUGCCACAGGAAACCCUAUAGAAAAAAAUGGCAUAGGAAAAGAACAAGCUAUUCACAGAAGCAAAAGCCCAAAAUAGAAGAGAUACUCAAAUUUAUUAGUAAUCAGAGGAACGCAAUCACAAGAUACCACUUUUUAUACUUGGACGUCAGAAUGGUAAAAAUUAGAUAGGCAAAAUCAAAUGUUAGUGUUUAUCACAGAGAACUCACAAAGGUUUUUAGGUACAAAGACCUUCCUCAUGGCUUUAUCUGAGUGGUGGGGAAGUGAGGGCAACUUAGGUAUUCAUUAUCACAGAUGGAGAAGAACCAUACGAUGGAUGCUCACUCUGGGAAGAUUGGUUAGUGGCUCACCAAGUCUAUCUCCUUUUCUUCCAAGACACACAAAUAGACUACAUUUUCCAGUCUUCAUUGCAGUUAGGCACAACCAUUUGACUGAGGUCUAGUCAAAGAAUAUGAAUGGAAAUGAUGUUGCUAUUCCAGGCCCAUGAAAACCUCUCACACAAGAUAUUUAUGCCUUUCACCUUCUGCCAAUGCAAUGCAGGUGGAUGCGACCAUCUUGGAAGCCAUGUUAAAGAAGGCAGAGCCACAAGAUAGAUGCAGCCGGGUUCUCUAAAUCACCACUGGGGAGAAACCCACACACCAAUGAGGAAUACCCAUUUUUUGGAUUUUAAGAGCAAGAAAUAAACUUCAAUUGUGUUCAGCAUUAUGUGCUUUGGGGUUUGUUUAUUACAGCAACUAGUGUUACUGCAACUAAUACAUAGUACACUAUGAAAAUACAAUGCUGGAGAAAGAAGUGAUGGAAUAGAUAUGCAUAAAACACCAUUGAUAGGCCUCACAAACAUAGGGUUAAGUGCAGAAGUACAGAAACAGAAUGAAAUUUAUAACUAGAUUCUAUUUAUUAAAUAGCAUAUGCACACAAUAUAAUAAUACAUGUUUUCUGAGGAUACAUGCAUAUUUAAGGAUGUAUAACAAAUGCUUUAGAAUGGGUAUGUAUGGGCCAGGUGCGGUGGCUCAUGCCUGUAAUCCCAGCACUUUGAGAAGCCAAGGCAGAUGGAUUACCAGAGGUUGGGAGUUCGAGACCAGUCUGGCCAACAUGCUGAAACCCCAUCUCUACUACAAAUACAGAAAAUUAGCUGGGUGCAGUGGUGGGCAUCUGUAAUUCCAACUAAUUGGGAUGCUGAGGCAGGAGAAUCACUUGAACCUGGGAGCCCGAGGCUGCAGUAAGCCAUGAUCGUACCACUGCACUCCAGCCUGGGAGACAGAGUAAGACUCCAUCUCAAAAAAAAAAAAAAAAAAAAAGAAUGGGUAUGUACGGUAGGAAUCAGAGAAGAAGGGAGAAAAAAGAAAAA
rnacentral:lncRNA from 1 species